UUCGAACCGAAAAUGUAAUAAGUGUAAUUUUCGAUUCUCACCAUAUUUCUCUAUCUUUUUUCCCAAUGUAGAAAACAAAAAACGAGCAUGCCAAAAUUAUUAUUUUCUUAAAAAAAAAGAAGAAAAAAAGUCAAAGUAAAAUAUUAAGGUGGGCUCAGUUGUCACAAUCUAACAUUUUUAGGCCUAAACGAUAAGCCCACCCAAGCCAGCCUAAAAUCUCAUUGAUUGUGAAUUAACAACAUUUAUAUGUCCACGUCAUUUCCACCAAUCAUUUAUCCCAUUUUAAAUUAAAUGAACAAAAAAAAAAACAUAAUAAUGCAUCUUACCUUAUUCCCCCUUGUCCUUUUUUUUUUCUCUUUAUAAACAAUCCCCCAACCUCUUAAACUAUCAUAAACAUCUCUAUUCUCCACCAUCAAAUAUCUAUCUGCAACCUUAAAACACACAAACACAUAAACAAACAGUCCCAAUUAAGUUGUUUUUGUUUUUUAAGAUUUGAAGAAAAGCAAAGUUAAUUAAGGAUGUUUGAAAUCUUUGUGCUAGGUUGUACUGGUGUUGUCAUGUUCCUUCAUGGAGUAAAUUUCUUCUUCCAUGCUCUCUCCACACAUAUGGCCAUUCGUUCUCUCAGCUUCUUAGGAUUUGUUGGUUGGUGAAGAUGAUGAUCACGAGAUGAAGGAAGCUUGCACCAACGGCAAUGCUUUUUGUAAAUAUUUCAUUUUUUUUUCUUUUCUAUUUCUUAUAUUAUGUUGUUGGGGUCCCAAAGAAAAGGGAGGAGAAUACCUAUGAUGAGAAAAUAUGUUCUCUCUAUAUGUAUUGUAAUCAUUGAAAGGAUUUUGCCUUGUUUCAAGUAAUACAACAACCUUUCAACUCUUUUGUAUAUAAUUAUUAUUAUAAUAAUAAAGACCGCUCGAUAGUGUUUCAGAUUA